rnacentral:rRNA from 1 species
UCUGGCUCAUGAUGAACGCUGGCGGCGUGCCUAAUACAUGCAAGUCGAACGGGAACCGGAGACUUCGGUAGCCGGGGAGAGUGGCGCACGGGUGCGUAACACGUAGCUGAUCUGCCCUUUGCAGGGGGAUAACCUGCCGAAAGGUGGGCUAAUACCGCGUAGGCUCGAUGAGGUUAGAGGCUCAUUGAGUAAAGCUGCGGCGGCAAAGGAGGAGGCUGCGACCCAUCAGCUAGUUGGUAGGGUAAAGGCCUACCAAGGCAAAGACGGGUAGGGGGCCUGAGAGGGUGACCCCCCACACUGGGACUGAGACACGGCCCAGACUCCUACGGGAGGCAGCAGUAAGGAAUAUUGCACAAUGGGCGCAAGCCUGAUGCAGCAACGCCGCGUGGAGGAUGAAGGCCUUCGGGUUGUAAACUCCUUUUCUGCGUGAAGAGGAAGGACGGUAGCGCAGGAAGAAGUCUCGGCUAACUACGUGCCAGCAGCCGCGGUAAAACGUAGGAGGCGAGCGUUAUCCGGAUUUACUGGGCGUAAAGCGCACGCAGGCGGUAGUUUAAGUGAUGCGUGAAAGCUCCCGGCUCAACUGGGAGAGGACGUAUCAAACUGGACCACUAGAGACAGAUAGAGGCAGGCGGAAUUCCGGGUGGAGUGGUGAAAUGCGUAGAGAUCCGGAGGAACACCAGUGGCGAAGGCGGCCUGCUGGGUCUGAUCUGACGCUGAGGUGCGAAAGCGUGGGGAGCGAACGGGAUUAGAAACCCCGGUAGUCCACGCCGUAAACGAUGCAAACUAGAUGUAGGUUGCUGAGAGGUAGCCAGUGUCGCAGCAAACGCGAUAAGUUUGCCGCCUGGGGAGUACGGCCGCAAGGCUAAAACUCAAAGGACUUGACGGGGGCCC